rnacentral:rRNA from 2 species
UAUACCGUGAAACUGCGAAUGGCUCAUUAAAUCAGUUAUCGUUUAUUUGAUAGUACCUUACUACUUGGAUAACCGUGGUAAUUCUAGAGCUAAUACAUGCUAAAAACCCCGACUUCGGAAGGGGUGUAUUUAUUAGAUAAAAAACCAACGCCCUUCGGGGCUUCUUGGUGAUUCAUGAUAACUUUACGGAUCGCAUGGCCUUGCGCCGGCGACGGUUCAUUCAAAUUUCUGCCCUAUCAACUUUCGAUGGUAAGGUAUUGGCUUACCAUGGUUUCAACGGGUAACGGGGAAUUAGGGUUCGAUUCCGGAGAGGGAGCCUGAGAAACGGCUACCACAUCCAAGGAAGGCAGCAGGCGCGCAAAUUACCCAAUCCCGACACGGGGAGGUAGUGACAAUAAAUACUGAUACAGGGCUCUUUUGGGUCUUGUAAUUGGAAUGAGUACAAUUUAAACCUCUUAACGAGGAACAAUUGGAGGGCAAGUCUGGUGCCAGCAGCCGCGGUAAUUCCAGCUCCAAUAGCGUAUAUUAAAGUUGUUGCAGUUAAAAAGCUCGUAGUUGAAACUUGGGUCUGGCUGGCAGGUCCGCCUCACCGCGUGUACUUGUCCGGCCGGGCCUUCCUUCUGGAGAACCUCAUGCCCUUCACUGGGCGUGUUGGGGACCAGGACUUUUACUUUGAAAAAAUUAGAGUGUUCAAAGCAGGCCUUUGCUCGAAUACGUUAGCAUGGAAUAAUAGAAUAGGACGUGCGGUCCUAUUUUGUUGGUUUCUAGGACCGCCGUAAUGAUUAAUAGGGACAGUCGGGGGCAUCAGUAUUCAAUUGUCAGAGGUGAAAUUCUUGGAUUUAUUGAAGACUAACUACUGCGAAAGCAUUUGCCAAGGAUGUUUUCAUUAAUCAGUGAACGAAAGUUAGGGGAUCGAAGACGAUCAGAUACCGUCGUAGUCUUAACCGUAAACUAUGCCGACUAGGGAUCGGGCGAUGUUCUUUUUCUGACUCGCUCGGCACCUUACGAGAAAUCAAAGUU